GGGUCGAUGCCCGAGUGGAACAGGGAGCGGACUGUAAAUCCGUUGGCUAAAGCCUACGUUGGUUCGAAUCCGACUCGACCCA
rnacentral:tRNA from 1 species